ACCCCGGUGGCUUAGUGGUUAGAGCGUCCGCCUCGGAUGCGGGAGGUCGCGGGUUCGAACUUCGGUCGAGUCA